UGUAAGCGUAUACCAAAGUUGUUGCAGUUAAAACGCUCGUAGUCGGACUUUGGCAGUUCCGGAUGUGUGCACGUCGUGUGCGCACUUCGCGGGGAUUGCUUUUGUGGUCUUGCGUAGGAUGAGGCACUUUUAUUAGUGAACGUCCUCACGCAACCACUUUUUACUGUGGGAAAAUCAGAGUGCUCAAAGCAGGCAUUUGCCGUGAAUGUAUUAGCAUGGAAUAAUAGAAUAGGACUUGGUUCUAUUUUGUUGGUUUGUUGGGACUGAGUAAUGAUUAAGAGGGACAGUUGGGGGCAUUUGUAUUUCGGUGCUAGAGGUGAAAUUCUUAGAUUACCGAAAGACAAACUGCUGCGAAAGCGUCUGCCAAGGAUGUUUUCAUUGA
rnacentral:rRNA from 1 species